CCGACCCUUUCUUCUCUCAGCUUCCCCUGACUUGCAAGAGCUCAAGUUUUGGGUCUCUUCGCCCCAUUCUACCGUGUUUGGAUUUCCAGAUUUUGAUUUUAGGUUUCUUUUUUGUUGUUGUUUUUCAGAUCGGGAAGCAGAAACACUCCUCAUCCUCUCUUCAACGGAACUACUACAGAAGAAUUUUGAACUUUCGAUUCAGGUUUUGGUCCGAGUUCCAAGAUGAAGCGGUUCAGUAGGAGACUACAAUUUUGUGCUCAACGCGGUCAAUUGGUGUUGGUUGUUUUCGUCGCUGCUAUGGAAAAGCUCCGUCUCCCUCUGCCUCUGAUAAAAGCAGCGCCUUCUUCGUCUCUCCAUCCCUAAUAGCAAAAUAUCAUCCUCUACCUCGACUCUUAGAGCUGCGCGCGUUCUCCAUCAGGUGGCUUUCUUCAUGCAUGUGAUCAAAAUCCUACAUGCUUAUCUAGGAGGACUUAUUGGAACUUGGCCUUUAUUUUGUAUCAAUGCAGAAAGCACAUAUUGAUCCUUUCACACGAGGUAUUUGCAAGCCAUCUGCAUCUCAAGGGGUUCCGCUCGGAGGGAUGGGAAGUGGCAGCAUCUCAAGAGGUUUUAGAGGCGAGUUCAGGCAAUGGCAAAUCAUUCCGGGUGCAUGUGAUGGUUCUCCUGACAUGGCCAAUCAAUUCUCUGUAAAAUUCAGCUCUUUAUCUGUUUACUUUUUGCUUGUUCAAGACAUAGCACAUAUCUGUUGAUAUUAUUUGUCAUCUUAACUGCCGUAUUGAAUUAUUCAUUGGUACAUAAUCAUGUGUUUCUGGUUUUUUCUGCAAUGCAACUUCACGGUGAUAAUUUAUUAUAGUAUUAUGUAGAACAUGUUUUCUAAUUUAUUGCUUUUAAUUAUAUCUUCAGUAAUACCAAGCAGAUUAUUAUUUGAGGUCCACAGCUAAGAUACAGAAGCUCUACC